UAGGGAAUCUUCGGCAAUGGGGGCAACCCUGACCGAGCAACGCCGCGUGAGUGAAGAAGGUUUUCGGAUCGUAAAGCUCUGUUGUAAGUCAAGAACGGGUGUGAGAGUGGAAAGUUCACACUGUGACGGUAGCUUACCAGAAAGGGACGGCUAACUACGUGCCAGCAGCCGCGGUAAUACGUAGGUCCCGAGCGUUGUCCGGAUUUAUUGGGCGUAAAGCGAGCGCAGGCGGUUUGAUAAGUCUGAAGUUAAAGGCUGUGGCUCACAUAGUUCGCU
rnacentral:rRNA from 1 species